rnacentral:rRNA from 1 species
GACGAACCGUCCUAACGUUGUUCGGAAUCACUGGGCUUAAAGGGCGCGUAGGCGGGUCAGCAAGUCCGGGGUGAAAUCUUUCGGCUCAACCGGAAAAUAGCCUUGGAUACUGCUGGUCUCGAGGGAGGUAGGGGCCUGUGGAACUUCCGGUGGAGCGGUGAAAUGCGUUGAUAUCGGAAGGAACGCCGGUGGCGAAAGCGACGGGCUGGACCUCUUCUGACGCUGAGGCACGAAGGUCAGGGGAGCAAACGGG